rnacentral:rRNA from 1 species
UGCAGUCGAGCGAAUCGAUGGGAGCUUGCUCCCUGAGAUUAGCGGCGGACGGGUGAGUAACACGUGGGCAACCUGCCUAUAAGACUGGGAUAACUUCGGGAAACCGGAGCUAAUACCGGAUACGUUCUUUUCUCGCAUGAGAGAAGAUGGAAAGACGGUUUACGCUGUCACUUAUAGAUGGGCCCGCGGCGCAUUAGCUAGUUGGUGAGGUAAUGGCUCACCAAGGCGACGAUGCGUAGCCGACCUGAGAGGGUGAUCGGCCACACUGGGACUGAGACACGGCCCAGACUCCUACGGGAGGCAGCAGUAGGGAAUCUUCCGCAAUGGACGAAAGUCUGACGGAGCAACGCCGCGUGAACGAAGAAGGCCUUCGGGUCGUAAAGUUCUGUUGUUAGGGAAGAACAAGUACCAGAGUAACUGCUGGUACCUUGACGGUACCUAACCAGAAAGCCACGGCUAACUACGUGCCAGCAGCCGCGGUAAUACGUAGGUGGCAAGCGUUGUCCGGAAUUAUUGGGCGUAAAGCGCGCGCAGGUGGUUCCUUAAGUCUGAUGUGAAAGCCCACGGCUCAACCGUGGAGGGUCAUUGGAAACUGGGGAACUUGAGUGCAGAAGAGGAAAGUGGAAUUCCAAGUGUAGCGGUGAAAUGCGUAGAGAUUUGGAGGAACACCAGUGGCGAAGGCGACUUUCUGGUCUGUAACUGACACUG